rnacentral:snoRNA from 1 species
AUUGCCCCUGGAGGCAUUGCAGUGGUGGUGCCCGUCCUGUAACAUUAGGUUGCAGAGUGAAGAGAAACUGUGCUUGGUGUUCUGGCUGUGAACAUCUUGAAUGAUUCGUAGACCCACACU